AACGAACGCUGGCGGCGUGGAUAAGACAUGCAAGUCGAACGGGAACUUCAGCUGUAGCAAUACAGUUGAAGUUUUAGUGGCGAACGGGUGCGUAACACGUGGGCAAUCUGCCGAGAAGUGGGGGAUAGCUCGCCGAAAGGCGAAUUAAUACCGCAUAUGAUCAGCUAAGACAUCUUAGCGACAUCAAAGCCGGGGCAACCUGGCGCUUUUUGAGGAGCCCGCGGCCUAUCAGCUAGUUGGUGAGGUAACGGCUCACCAAGGCUAUGACGGGUAGCUGGUCUGAGAGGACGACCAGUCACACUGGAACUGAGACACGGUCCAGACACCUACGGGUGGCAGCAGUCGAGUAAUUUUUCUCAAUGGGGCAACCCUGAAGGAGCGACGCGCGUGGAGGAUGAAGGCUUUCGGUUAGUAACUCCUGUCAUUUGUAGAACAAGGUGCAUCGGUUAACUGCCGGUGCAUUGAUAGUAUCAGAAGAGGAAGAGAC
rnacentral:rRNA from 1 species